CGUGUUUGAACUGUUGUUUGUUUCUUAACACCUGUUUCCCCCACCUGUAUCCCAAUGUAAAGGAUGCAAGAUGUCUCAUCAGAAAUGAUGCCAUCUGCCAAUACGUUUUAGAGCUGUUUAUGGAUGGUCUCAGCCAUCUCAGUCUUUUCCCCUCUCCCCUACUUGCCUAUUGUAUCCUUCACAAGGUGAUUACUGCUUCACCACAAUGCAUAGUGACGCAAAGGUCCUUCUCUUUGUCUCUCUCGCUGGUUUUGGAUUGGGUGCGUGUCUAUUGCUUCGGUGACUGUUCUGGCUUUUCUGCCUGUCUGCUUGACUUAGAGGGGCCCUGGUCAAAAGUAGUGCACUUUGUAGGGAAUAGUGCGCCAGAUGAUGUCUCUGGUUUCUGCUACCUCAGCUUGCCUGGUGGAAGACUGUUGGGGAGGGUAUAUGGGGUGGGGUAGUAUAGGCUCAAGGGCUUUCUGUACAGAUUGACAAGAACGUUUGGUAUUUUGUUGGUUGCGAGUGACGUUACAGGGAUGAGGGUCAAUUGGGUAGUGAUGAACCGUCCAUAUGCUUGACUAUUGGAAAGGGGGUCGGGAAGCGGUGGUCGGGAAGAUGGGGGGGGGUAACCCCUUCGCUUGUAACAUUUCGGGGUUUCUAUGACAAACAAAAAACAUCACAUUUGUUUGUGAAUUUCCAGUUGAAGUUGAUAAUGCCUGCCGUGUUUCUAGCUUUCGAACCGUCCGUUUUGUUUCAACGCUGGUUUCUUUGACAACCACAAGCCUUCUGUAUUCUUCUGUAUUCUUUGGUUCUGGUUUGUCGUCCUCUGACUCAGGACCACAGAUCAACCAGAUGUCAGAGGGACACCUGCCAGGUGUUUUAGUUCAGACUUCUAGAGCAGCUCUGACUCAGGACCACAGAUCAACCAGAUGUCAGAGGGACAUCUGCCAGGUGUUUUAGUUCAGACUUCUAGAGCAGCUCUGACUCAGGACCACAGAUCAACCAGAUGUCAGAGGGACAUCUGCCAGGUGUUUUAGAGCAGCUCUGGGAAAGAACAUGUGGCGAAUAAGAUGAACCCUGUUUUACAGUUGAAGAAGAAUUUCCAGUCAUGUACAUUCGUAGAUCAGUACUAAGAAAAGAGAUCUGCCGACCGUCUGUGUGAACCCAAUACUUACUCUCUACUCUGGCCAAAGAGGGAUAUGAUAUCCAUUCUUGAAAGCCAGACUUUGACCACUUUGACUUAGCUCUUCUUUAUACAGCCUUUUGUUAACUAAUUACCACACGAUUUCAGCCAAAUACCUAUUUUCUUUCAGUGCUUUAUAAACAGCAAGGAUUGUAAAAAAUAGAAUGCCAAUUUCACGGGGAAAGGAAUUGAUUUGUUUCAUUGUCUCGUCUAUUGUCAUUGUAUGGUGUUGGUGUGCAACAACUUCAAACAAUAAACCUUACAACGCAGGAUACCUCAGAAUAUAAAUCCAUGUAAAGCUUGACAGCCUCCAUGGCGUUGUUAGUUCCUCUACAUUUUGCCCUCUUGAUGCUCCACGUGCUUUUUACUCUGUUAUUUCCACUUUUAUCCCUCACACGGCAUGUAGCACAUAGUGGACGUGUCAUAGCUUAUUUUUUUUCUUGUUCUGGGGACUUUUUAAGACGGGUCUCUCAUUCAGUCCCUCCCCGGAGCCAGAGAUAAAGAGAGGAGGUGGUGAUUGGGAGUGAAAGGAACACUAAUUCACAUUCUAGAAUUCAUUUUGGGAUCUCGUUUGAUCCUGAAGUCACGAGAGAGAAAAUAUCUUCAUCUAUAUCUGCUGAUUUGAACUGGAGCUCGGUUUCCUCGUCUCUUCUCUUUCAUUAUUUUGAAACUAGAGAUGCUCAGAGGCCGAAGGUCAAUCUGUUAAGUCCUAUAAUCCCCAUUUCUUUCCUUUUGGAUACCUCUUUUUGAUUUAUCAUCUACAUUCUCAUCAUUAAAACUGAAUGUAACGACACAAACUAACCUCACGAUUCUAACUUGACAGAUGGAAGAAAAACAUAUACUAUAUAUGUACAUAUGUAUAACACACAACACACAAUGCAUUGUAUAUAUACAGAUCUCCUAAAGACAGAUACAUACUUAUCUUGUGGAAGGGGAAAAACAACCGUUUCCUUUGUUUGAUUCAGGGAACAAUAGUCCAGUGCGGUAUGUUAGAUAUCACUCCCAUGGCUCUCUUUCUGACUGUAUGUUAGAUAUCAC
ensembl:lncRNA